GCUGAGAAGUCCUAAGAUUUGCAGAUGGCAAGCUGGAGACCAAAGUAUAAGUUCUAAUUCGAAAGCCAGCAGGCUCGAGAUCGAAGAGCUGAUAGUUGAGUCUGAGGCCAAAGGCAAGAAAAGACCAAUGUGUCAGCUCAAGCAGGAGGAGCUCCCCCUACUCAGGGGAGGGUCAGUCUCUCUGUUCUGCUGAGGACUUCAGCCGAUUGGAUCAUGCCCACCCACAUUGGAAGGGCCAUCUGCUUUACUCAGGCCACCAAUUCAAACAUUAAUCUCCUCCAGAAGCACCCUCACAGACACACCCAGAAUAUUGUUUGACCAGCUAUCUGGGCAUCCCAUGGCCCAGUGAAGCUGACACACAACAUUAACCAUCACAAGUAGGGACCCCUGUUUUUAUUCUCUUCUUAAUAGGCUUGGGGAGAAGUUGGCCUCUCAUGCUUCUAACUCAUCAGCUGUUACUUGUGGGAGCUGCUACCUACUCAGCAUCGCUCAGGGCACUGCAUUACGCCUUCCAGGCAAUUAUACAAGAAGGAGCAAGAAUGUCUAUGGAGCAGUCAGGAAUCACACAUGUGUGAAGCCUAAAGGACCCUGGGGAUCUCCUAGCCCUAUUGCAAAGAAACAGAUGAUCAAGACUCUGCUAGCAGGAGAAAAAGAGAGAAAAGAGAGAUGAAAAAGUCUUGUGUGACCAGAAGCUUAUCAACCUUGUGUGCUGUUGGCUUACUUUAACAUUUACAGCAGACGAUAGAAUUGUGUUCAGAUGACACAAUAAGGUAUCAAAUGACUUCACGAAAGCAAGACGGCACUGAACCCCAAGGUAAGAGAUUGUACGGACAUCAUUUAAAAGUUUGUGUCCCUCCUUAAAGGUUUGUGUCCCCCUUUGGUAGUCCAGACAUGAAAACGUCUUAUCUGGGUGUGGCUCAGAUACCACUCUGGAGUAGGCUAACUUUGUAACUCGAGCACACAGAAUGGCAGGAAGCAAAGCAACAGUCGGAGGAACAACCUGGGCCAACAUGGCCCGAGAUCAAAGAGGAGAACAGGACGUGCUGAGCCCAGAGGGGGUGAGUCAGAGAGAGAAGAGGAUGUUUUCUUUUGGUCACUGCAGACAUAGGUUUUGUUGUGAGCACUAGAUGGUCUGAAAAGCCCCCAUCCUAAUUCUAGGUCUGCAAGCCAAGAAGAUGGAGCAGGUUCUCGUGGGGCUCUGUCUCCAGAGACCUUGUGUGAGCUUGGUAAUGAGAGGCCCAAAGCCAACAUUUAGAUAGUGCUGCUCCAGGAAAGGGAAUUAAGGGCUUUAAAAAUGGAUGCUGAAUCGCUUGAACCCGGGAGGCAGAGUUUGCAGUGAGCCGAGGUCACACCAUUGCACUCCGGCCUGGGCAACAAGAGCAAAACUCCGUCUGAAAAAAAAAAAGCGGAUGCUGAGGCCAGGCUCACUGCAACCUCUGCCACCCGGGUUCAAAUGAUUCUCCUGCCUCAGCCUCCGAAGUAGCUGGGAUUACAGACACCUGCCCCUACGUCUGACUAAUUCUCUUGUAGUUUUAGUAGAGACAGGGUUUCACCAUGUUGGUCAGGCUGGUCUUUAACUCCUGACCUCAGGUGAUCCACCCACGUCAGCCUCCCAAAGUGCUGAGAUUACAGGUAUGAGCCACCACACCCAGCCUUAGGCAUAGUGGCUCAUGGUAGCUCAUGCCUGUAAUCCCAGCAUUUUGGAAGGCCAAGGCAGGAGGAUCGCUUGAGGCUAGGAGUUCCAGGCCAGCCUGGGCAACAUAAUGAGACCCCAUCUCUACAACAUAAAAAUAAAAAAAAAAACAAAAAUAGCUGGGUGUGGUGGCACAUGCCUGUAGUCCCAGCCAUUCAGGAAGCUGAGGCUGGAGGUUGACUUGAGCCCAGCAGUUCAAUACCACAGUGAGCUGUGAUUGUGUCACUGCACUCCAGCCUAGGCGACAGAGCCAAACCCUAUCUCUAAAAAAACAAACAGAGAAUGGAUGCCGAACUUACACUUUUUUAC